CCUACGGGAGGCAGCAGUGGGGGAUAUUGCACAAUGGGGGAAACCCUGAUGCAGCGACGCCGCGUGGGUGAAGAAGCGCCUCGGCGCGUAAAGCCCUGUCAGCAGGGAAGAAAAUGACGGUACCUGAAGAAUAAGCCCCGGCUAAAUCCGUGCCAGCAGCCGCGGUACUACGGAGGGGGCAAGCGUUAUCCGGAUUUACUGGGUGUAAAGGGGGCGCAGACGGCGAUGCAAGCCAGGAGUGAAAGCCCGGGGCCCAACCCCGGGACUGCUCUUGGAACUGCGGGGCUAGAGAGCAGGAGGGGCAGGCGGAAUUCGUGGUGUAGCGGUGAAAUGCGUAGAUAUCAGGAGGAACACCGGUGGCGAAGGCAGCCUGCUGGACUGCAACUGACGUUGAGGCCCGAAAGCGUGGGGAGCAAACAGGAUUAGAUACCCGGGUAGUC
rnacentral:rRNA from 1 species